UCCGUAGGUGAACCUGCGGAAGGAUCAUUACCGAGUGAGGGCCCUCUGGGUCCAACCUCCCACCUGUGUUUAUUUUACCUUGUUGCUUCGGCGGGCCCGCCUUAACUGGCCGCCGGGGGGCUUACGCCCCCGGGCCCGCGCCCGCCGAAGACACCCUCGAACUCUGUCUGAAGAUUGUAGUCUGAGUGAAAAUAUAAAUUAUUUAAAACUUUCAACAACGGAUCUCUUGGUUCCGGCAUCGAUGAAGAACGCAGCGAAAUGCGAUACGUAAUGUGAAUUGCAAAUUCAGUGAAUCAUCGAGUCUUUGAACGCACAUUGCGCCCCCUGGUAUUCCGGGGGGCAUGCCUGUCCGAGCGUCAUUGCUGCCCUCAAGCACGGCUUGUGUGUUGGGCCCCGUCCUCCGAUCCCGGGGGACGGGCCCGAAAGGCAGCGGCGGCACCGCGUCCGGUCCUCGAGCGUAUGGGGCUUUGUCACCCGCUCUGUAGGCCCGGCCGGCGCUUGCCGAUCAACCCAAAUUUUUAUCCAGGUUGACCUCGGAUCAGGUAGGGAUACCCGCUGAACUUAAGCAUAUCAAUAAGCGGAGGA
rnacentral:rRNA from 1 species